UGCCUCGUAGCUCAGCGGUAGAGCGGCGGUCUGUUAAACCGUUCGUCGGUGGUUCGAUCCCACCCGAGGCAGC
rnacentral:tRNA from 1 species